rnacentral:rRNA from 1 species
CGAAUGCUGACAUAAGUAACGAUAAAGCGGGUGAAAAGCCCGCUCGCCGGAAGACCAAGGGUUCCUGUCCAACGUUAAUCGGGGCAGGGUGAGUCGACCCCUAAGGCGAGGCCGAAAGGCGUAGUCGAUGGGAAACAGGUUAAUAUUCCUGUACUUGGUGUUACUGCGAAGGGGGGACGGAGAAGGCUAUGUUGGCCGGGCGACGGUUGUCCCGGUUUAAGCGUGUAGGCUGGUUUUCCAGGCAAAUCCGGAAAAUCAAGGCUGAGGCGUGAUGACGAGGCACUACGGUGCUGAAGCAACAAAUGCCCUGCUUCCAGGAAAAGCCUCUAAGCAUCAGGUAACAUCAAAUCGUACCCCAAACCGACACAGGUGGUCAGGUAGAGAAUACCAAGGCGCUUGAGAGAACUCGGGUGAAGGAACUAGGCAAAAUGGUGCCGUAACUUCGGGAGAAGGCACGCUGAUAUGUAGGUGAAGCGACUUGCUCGUGGAGCUGAAAUCAGUCGAAGAUACCAGCUGGCUGCAACUGUUUAUUAAAAACACAGCACUGUGCAAACACGAAAGUGGACGUAUACGGUGUGACGCCUGCCCGGUGCCGGAAGGUUAAUUGAUGGGGUCAGCGCAAGCGAAGCUCUUGAUCGAAGCCCCGGUAAACGGCGGCCGUAACUAUAACGGUCCUAAGGUAGCGAAAUUCCUUGUCGGGUAAGUUCCGACCUGCACGAAUGGCGUAAUGAUGGCCAGGCUGUCUCCACCCGAGACUCAGUGAAAUUGAACUCGCUGUGAAGAUGCAGUGUACCCGCGGCAAGACGGAAAGACCCCGUGAACCUUUACUAUAGCUUGACACUGAACAUUGAGCCUUGAUGUGUAGGAUAGGUGGGAGGCUUAGAAGUGUGGACGCCAGUCUGCAUGGAGCCGACCUUGAAAUACCACCCUUUAAUGUUUGAUGUUCUAACGUGGACCCGUGAUCCGGGUUGCGGACAGUGUCUGGUGGGUAGUUUGACUGGGGCGGUCUCCUCCUAAAGAGUAACGGAGGAGCACGAAGGUUGGCUAAUCCUGGUCGGACAUCAGGAGGUUAGUGCAAUGGCAUAAGCCAGCUUGACUGCGAGCGUGACGGCGCGAGCAGGUGCGAAAGCAGGUCAUAGUGAUCCGGUGGUUCUGAAUGGAAGGGCCAUCGCUCAACGGAUAAAAGGUACUCCGGGGAUAACAGGCUGAUACCGCCCAAGAGUUCAUAUCGACGGCGGUGUUUGGCACCUCGAUGUCGGCUCAUCACAUCCUGGGGCUGAAGUAGGUCCCAAGGGUAUGGCUGUUCGCCAUUUAAAGUGGUACGCGAGCUGGGUUUAGAACGUCGUGAGACAGUUCGGUCCCUAUCUGCCGUGGGCGCUGGAGAACUGAGGGGGGCUGCUCCUAGUACGAGAGGACCGGAGUGGACGCAUCACUGGUGUUCGGGUUGUCAUGCCAAUGGCACUGCCCGGUAGCUAAAUGCGGAAGAGAUAAGUGCUGAAAGCAUCUAAGCACGAAACUUGCC